CCAUCAUUUCUUGGGACCAAUGAUGCUGCUUCCUACUCUCUGCUUUCUGCCUGGGAGUUUUGUCUGGGACGCCUGUGUCUGCCCCACUCACUGUGUGGUGCAAGCUCCAUUUCCAGUGAGGACAACCGUGGCUGCCGAGAGCACCUUACAAGCCAGGCAUCCUCCUCUGAGCUCAAGGCAGCCUUGAGAAGUGGGACGAAGACUUCCUUCACGGGAAGAGGAGCGGCUCAGAGAAAGGAAGAGGCUAGUCCAGAACCACCACGUGGACAUCUUCUGUGAAGGCCCUGGGGUGAAGGGCAC
rnacentral:lncRNA from 1 species